rnacentral:rRNA from 1 species
CCUGACUGCUAUCGGAUUGAUACUAAGCCAUGCGAGUCAUUGUAGCAAUACAAGGCAUACGGCUCAGUAACGCGUAGUCAACCUAACCUAUGGACGGAAAUAACCUCGGGAAACUGAGAAUAAUGUCCGAUAGAACACUAUACCUGGAAUGGUUUGUGUUCCAAAUGAUUUAUCGCCGUAGGAUGGGACUGCGGCCUAUCAGUUUGUUGGUGAGGUAAUGGCCCACCAAGACUAUUACAGGUACGGGCUCUGAGAGGAGUAGCCCGGAGAUGGGUACUGAGACACGGACCCAGGCCCUAUGGGGCGCAGCAGGCGAGAAAACUUUGCAAUGUGCGAAAGCACGACAAGGUUAAUCCGAGUGAUUUCUGCUAAAGAAAUCUUUUGUCAGUCAUAAAACCACUGGCGAAUAAGGGGUGGGCAAGUUCUGGUGUCAGCCGCCGCGGUAAAACCAGCACCUCAAGUGGUCAGGAUGAUUAUUGGGCCUAAAGCAUCCGUAGCCGGCUUUGUUAGUUUUCGGUUAAAUCCAUGUGCUCAACGCAUGGGCUGCCGAAAAUACUGCAUAGCUAGGGAGUGGGAGAGGUAGACGGUACUCAGUAGGAAGGGGUAAAAUCCUUUGAUCUAUUGAUGACCACCUGUGGCGAAGGCGGUCUACCAGAACACGUUCGACGGUGAGGGAUGAAAGCUGGGGGAGCAAACCGGAUUAGAUACCCGGGUAGUCCCAGCUGUAAACGAUGCAGACUCGAUGAUGCAUUGGCAUAAUAGCCAGUGCAGUGUCGCAGGGAAGCCGUUAAGUCUGCCGCCUGGGAAGUACGUACGCAAGUAUGAAACUUAAAGGAAUUGGCGGGGGAGCACCACCAAGGGGUGAAGCCUGCGGUUC